UCAGGAUGAACGCUAGCUACAGGCUUAACACAUGCAAGUCGAGGGGCAGCAUGGGGUAGCAAUACUCAGAUGGCGACCGGCGCACGGGUGAGUAACACGUAUCCAACCUGCCGCUUACUCGGGGAUAGCCUUUCGAAAGAAAGAUUAAUACCCGAUGGUAUAAAGAGUUCGCAUGUUCUCUUUAUUAAAGAAUUUCGGUAAGCGAUGGGGAUGCGUUCCAUUAGAUAGUUGGCGGGGUAACGGCCCACCAAGUCUACGAUGGAUAGGGGUUCUGAGAGGAAGGUCCCCCACAUUGGAACUGAGACACGGUCCAAACUCCUACGGGAGGCAGCAGUGAGGAAUAUUGGUCAAUGGACGAGAGUCUGAACCAGCCAAGUAGCGUGAAGGAUGACUGCCCUAUGGGUUGUAAACUUCUUUUAUAAGGGAAUAAAGUGAGGGACGUGUCCCUUUUUGUAUGUACCUUAUGAAUAAGGAUCGGCUAACUCCGUGCCAGCAGCCGC
rnacentral:rRNA from 1 species